GGAGUGAAGGGAAAGGGGCCCCUGCGCAUGCUGUAACAGUUAGUCCCCCACAAAUGGUACCUGUGGGAGACGCAGCAUCCCGGCGGGCAGCUCCAGUGACAGAGCAGAGAGCGGGGUACGGAGACGCUGGCAGAGAGGUAGUCUCGGUGACAGUGAGGCUGGAGAACGCUGCAGGCAGACAAAUAGCCCCUGGCGGAGAGGCAGUCCCGGUGAUGGCGAGGUUGGAGAGCCAGAGAGCUGUGCAGUAGAGGCGCAGGCAACCAGAGUAAGAGGGAGAACGGUGAGGAGUGAGAUCCUGUCAGUGCUGAGGACUCACUGAUUGGUACAAGAACUACAAUAAGAGGUACCUACACUAUCUGUCUUACAAUAAUCAGACAGAGGGGGUGGAGAGGCAGAGCGUAGAGGAACAAGAGGAACAGGAGGAGUCGGGGGAGCUACCAGAGGUGGGAAUGUUUGUUGGAACGGUCUAAAGAAUUUAUUGACGCUGAUAACCCAACUAUAGUUGUACAAUAAAGCUGUUAUACUUA